AUUGAACGCUAGCGGGAUGCCUUACACAUGCAAGUCGAACGGCAGCACGGACUUCGGUCUGGUGGCGAGUGGCGAACGGGUGAGUAAUAUAUCGGAACGUGCCCAGUAGCGGGGGAUAACUACGCGAAAGCGUAGCUAAUACCGCAUACGCCCUUCGGGGGAAAGCAGGGGAUCGCAAGACCUUGCACUAUUGGAGCGGCCGAUAUCGGAUUAGCUAGUUGGUGAGGUAAUGGCUCACCAAGGACGCGAUCCGUAGCUGGUUUGAGAGGACGACCAGCCACACUGGGACUGAGAAGCGGCCCAGACUCCUACGGGAGGCAGCAGUGGGGAAUUUUGGACAAUGGGGGAAACCCUGAUCCAGCCAUCCCGCGUGUGCGAUGAGGGCCUUCGGGUUGUAAAGCACUUUUGGCAGGAAAGAAACGGCGCGUGUUAAUACCAUGCGCAACUGACGGUACCUGCAGAAUAAGCACCGGCUAACUACGUGCCAGCCGCCGCCGUAA
rnacentral:rRNA from 1 species